UGGCUCCUUGAGAGUCCUGAAGGAACGUUGAAGACGACGACGUUGAUAGGCCGGGUGUGUAAGCGCAGCGAUGCGUUGAGCUAACCGGUACUAAUGAACCGUGAGGCUUAACCUUACAACGCCGAAGGUGUUU
rnacentral:rRNA from 1 species